AUUGAACGCUGGCGGCAGGCCUAACACAUGCAAGUCGAGCGGAUGAAGGGAGCUUGCUCCUGGAUUCAGCGGCGGACGGGUGAGUAAUGCCUAGGAAUCUGCCUGGUAGUGGGGGAUAACGUCUGGAAACGGGCGCUAAUACCGCAUACGUCCUGAGGGAGAAAGUGGGGGAUCUUCGGACCUCACGCUAUCAGAUGAGCCUAGGUCGGAUUAGCUAGUUGGUGGGGUAAAGGCCUACCAAGGCGACGAUCCGUAACUGGUCUGAGAGGAUGAUCAGUCACACUGGAACUGAGACACGGUCCAGACUCCUACGGGAGGCAGCAGUGGGGAAUAUUGGACAAUGGGCGAGAGCCUGAUCCAGCCAUGCCGCGUGUGUGAAGGAGAUCUUCGGAUUGUAAAGCACUUUAAGUUGGGAGGAAGGGCAGUAAGUUAAUACCUUGCUGUUUUGACGUUACCAACAGAAUAAGCACCGGCUAACUUCGUG
rnacentral:rRNA from 1 species